rnacentral:rRNA from 1 species
GUUGAACGCUGGCGGCAGGCCUAACACAUGCAAGUCGAGCGGAUGAAGGGAGCUUGCUCCUGGAUUCAGCGGCGGACGGGUGAGUAAUGCCUAGGAGUCUGCCUGGUCGUGGGGGAUAACGUACGGAAACGGGCGCUAAUACCGCAUACGUCAUGAGGGAGAACGUGGGGGUUCUUCGGACCUCACGCUAUCAGCUGAGCCUAGGUCGGAUUAGCUAGUUGGUGGGGUAAAGGCCUACCAAGGCGACGAUCCGUAACUGGUCUGAGAGGAUGAUCAGUCACACUGGAACUGAGACACGGUCCAGACUCCUACGGGAGGCAGCAGUAGGGAAUAUUGGACAAUGGGCGAAAGCCUGAUCCAGCCAUGCCGCGUGAGUGAAGAAGGUCUUCGGAUUGUAAAGCACUUUAAGUUGGGAGGAAGGGCAGUAAGUUAAUACCUGGCUGUUUUGACGUUACCAACAGAAUAAGCACCGGCUAACUUCGUG